UACAGAGGUCUCAAGCGUUGUUCGGAUUCAUUGGGCGUAAAGGGUGCGUAGGCGGCGGGGUAAGUCGGGUGUGAAAUCUCAGGGCUCAACCCUGAAACUGCACUCGAUACUGCUCUGCUUGAGGACUGGAGAGGAGACUGGAAUUCACGGUGUAGCAGUGAAAUGCGUAGAUAUCGUGAGGAAGACCAGUGGCGAAGGCGGGUCUCUGGACAGUACCUGACGCUGAGGCGCGAAGGCCAGGGGAGCAAACGGG
rnacentral:rRNA from 1 species